GUUGCGUAGGUGGCUUGUAAAGUGAAUAGUGAAACCUGGUGGCUCAACCAUACAGACUAUUAUUCAAACUCACAAGCUCGAGAGUAGCAGAGGUAACNUGGAAUUUCUUGUGUAGGAGUGAAAUCCGUAGAUAUAAGAAGGAACACCAAUGGCGUAGGCAGGUUACNUGGGCUAUUUCUGACACUGAGGCACGAAAGCGUGGGGAGCGAACCGGAUUAGAUACCCGGGUAGUCCACGCCGUAAACGAUGGAUACUAGCUGUUGGAGGUAUCGACCCCUUCAGUAGCGAAGCUAACGCGUUAAGUAUCCCGCCUGUGGAGUACGGUCGCAAGACUAAAACAUAAAGGAAUUGACGGGGACCCGCACAAGCGGUGGAUCGUGUUCUUUAAUUCGAUGAUAAACGAAGAACCUUACCAGGGUUUGACAUCCUUGGAAUUUCUGUGAAAGCAGAGAGUGCUUUAUUGAGCCAAGUGACAGGUGAUGCAUGGCCGUCGUCAGCUCGUGUCGUGAGAUGUUUGGUUAAGUCCAUCAACGAGCGCAACCCUUGUGAAUAGUUGUAUUUUUCUAUUCAGACUGCCCCGGUAACGGGGAGGAAGGAGGGGGAUGAUGUCAGGUCAGUAUUUCCCUUACACCCUGGGCUAGAAACACGAUACAAUGGUUAGUACAAUGCGCAGCGAAGCCCCGAGGUGGAGCAAAUCGCAUCAAAGCC
rnacentral:rRNA from 1 species